rnacentral:sRNA from 1 species
AGAGCCCCGGGGACAGCCUGGGAUCGAGCAGGCUGAUUGGCUGCCUCUUCAAAGGAAGCGUCCUGUGCAGGCAUGUUAGGACCCAGCAUCAGAGCAGAUGCUGCCUGCUGUGCCCUUCAUCCCUGGACUCAAGAGGGGCAAAGAGCCCAAGAGAGGCUAUUACAGGCUCCGAGAUCUACCCAGACCCGGAGCUGGAAGUACAAGUAUUGGGCCUGCCUAUCCGCUGCAUCCACAGUGAGGAGGGCUGCCGCUGGAGUGGGCCACUACGUCAUCUACAGGUGAGGCUCUGAUGUGAGGGCGGGCACCACCUCUCCCUUGGCAGGCACUAAUUGCAGCCUUCCCACCCAGGGCCACCUGAAUACCUGCAGCUUCAACGUCAUUCCCUGCCCUAAUCGCUGCCCCAUGAAGCUGAGCCGCCGUGAUCUACCUGCACACUUGCAGCACGACUGCCCCAAGCGGCGCCUCAAGUGCGAGUUUUGUGGCUG